AACGAUGGAUGCUCGCUGUGUGCCUGUGAGUACGUGCCAAGGGAAACCAUUAAGCAUCCCACCUGGGAGUACGCCGGCAACGUGAAACUCAAAGGAAUUGACGGGGCCCGCACAAGCGGAGGAACAUGUGGUUUAAUUCGAUGAUACGCGAGGAACCUUACCCGGGCUUGAACUGCAGCAGACGGAUUCAGAGAUGAUGACUCCCUUCGGGGCUGCUGUGGAGGUGCUGCAUGGUUGUCGUCAGCUCGUGUCGUGAGAUGUUGGGUUAAGUCCCGCAACGAGCGCAACCCUUACGAUUAGUUGCUAACAGUUCGGCUGAGCACUCUAGUGGGACUGCCGCUGACAAAGCGGAGGAAGGUGGGGAUGACGUCAAAUCAUCAUGCCCUUUAUAACCUGGGCUACACACGUACUACAAUGGUCAUUAACAACGGGCAAGCUCGCAAGAGUGAGGGAAUCCUUAAAAAUGGCCUCAGUUCAGAUUGUAGGCUGAAACUCGCCUAUAUGAAGACGGAAUUGCUAGUAAUCGCAAAUCAGCAUGUUGCGGUGAAUACGUUCACGGGUCUUGUACACACCGCCCGUCACACCAUGGGAGCCGGUAAUACCCGAAGUCGGUGUCUUGACCUUUUAGGAGAGAGCCGCCGAAGGUAGGAUUGGCGACUGGGGUG
rnacentral:rRNA from 1 species